AAACAUCUUCCUUUUAAAGAAUUAAAGUUAAUUUUAUUCAGAGUCUUCCUGAGGACUGCAAUCUAGGGUAGUUUUCAGAGUUUCUGUUAAAAUACUCCAAAGUACUGUUUCAGCCAAGAGCUUAUAUACUGGUGGUGGAGGUUCUGCAUGUGCUCAUAAGUUACAUCAAAUGUGGUUAGAAGUUACAUUAGAGCUAAACUUCAUCAAAGUUUCAAUGUAAAGGUAAAUCUACUUAUAAAUUACAGAUGCAUAAUUAUUAAACCUGUAAGAUAUUAUCUUACAUACAGAAAAAGGCAAAGGCUAUAAUCAUUAGACUUACAAUUUUUAAAAAUGCCAUAAUUCAGGAAAGAUUAUUGGAGACCUGUACUGUAUCCUGCUUAUAGCCUUCAAGUUAUUCUCCCUGAAAGCUGCACUCAGUGGCUGAGUCAGAGUUUUGUGAAUUCAUGCUGACAAGUGGAAUGAACAAACAGAUUCUUCAUGACAAGGGCUGACUAUGUGGCUGGACAGAGCCAUAUGUUUGCUACUAUUGUCUUGCAGUAUGAAGAGAUGUACAGAGGUAUUUGGUGGCAAAAAGAUGGAGGAGAGAAACCUUAAUUGAGUGGAACCAAAAAUGAAUUUGAAUAGAUAUGGAGUUGGGGAUGUCUUUCAAUAACCUGCAAACCUGAAUGUUGACAUGGAAUGUUAUUUGGUCAGGAAGUCUGGAUUAUGGAAAUGCAGAUUCUAUAAUAAAGCCUGGCUCUCCAUUCCAAGAUGGCUGAAUAGGAACAGAUCUGGUCUGCAGCUCCCAGUGUGAUCAAUGCAGAAGACAGGUGAUUUCUGCAUUUCCAACUAAGCAUAUACCUGAAAGUGGAAUUUCUGAGUCAUAUGGUUACUCUAUGUUUAAUCUUUGGAGCAACUGUGGCUGGAUCAAAGACACACCUAUAAGAACUAAAAAGAAAAUAUUCCUACAAGAAAACAUAGGCAUAAAAUUGGCUGAACCAUUUUAUAUCCUCAGCAGCGUGUAUGAUGGCUUCCAUUUUUUCAUACCCUUGCCAAUGCUUUUCAUUAUCUGUCGUUUUCACUCUAGCCAUCCUAGUGGGUAAGAAGUGGCUUUUUAUUUUGGUUUUAACUUGUAUUUUCCUCAUGGCUAAUGAGGUUGGGCAUUCUUUCAUGUGCUUAUUGACCAUUUGUAUUAUCCUUUUAUGAAAAUAUGUAUUCAGAUU
rnacentral:lncRNA from 1 species